rnacentral:ncRNA from 1 species
UCUAAAGUGUUGAAGAGGAAAAGUAAAAAAAUGAUGCUGAAAGAGAGAACCAUCACCGGCUGAAAGUGGUUUAAGCUUCUCAUUUUUUGAAAUGCACCUCUGAGUCCCGUUUCGAAAGAGUCCACUCUAGUAGAUAUGGGCGGAACCUAUCCGUUAACAGGCAGAGUGAGACCAGUAUCUAGCUUCAAUUUCUGAUGAGCUAAACCGGUCUAAUCAGAGUGGAACCACGCACAAGCGUCUCUGUC